UACGAAGGGGGCGAGCGUUGUCCGGAAUCAUUGGGCGUAAAGCGCGUGUAGGCGGUUCGGUAAGUCUGCUGUGAAAGUCCAGGGCUCAACCCUGGGAUGCCGGUGGAUACUGUCGAGCUCGAGUCCGGAAGAGGCGAGUGGAAUUCCUGGUGUAGCGGUGAAAUGCGCAGAUAUCAGGAGGAACACCAAUGGCGAAGGCAGCUCGCUGGGACGGUACUGACGCUGAGACGCGAAAGCGUGGGGAGCAAACAGG
rnacentral:rRNA from 1 species